GCUCCAAUAGCGUAUAUUAAAGUUGUUGCAGUUAAAAGGCUCGUAGUCGAAUUUAUGGCCUGUGAACCUUCCGCUCUCAAGUAGAGUGAGUGAAGGUGUGCACGGGUCAUCCUUCUGGAAGCACCUCUGCCUUGAUUGGGUUGGUUGUGUAAUUCAGAUCAUUUACUGUGAGAAAAUCAGAGUGUUCAAAGCAGGCUUCA
rnacentral:rRNA from 1 species